rnacentral:misc_RNA from 1 species
AACACUGUUAACCUGCGGUACCUGCGGAGGGAUCAUUACAGAGGAUUAGAUAUCCCAAUGCGAUUGGAUUACUAUUAUCCAUGCUCGAUUCUUGUGUGCAUUUAUACGAUGUUUACUUUGGCAGAUUUCUUUGAAUAUCCGAAGAAGAAAAACGUCUAUUUUUCUUUCUCUCGGAUAAAGGAGAGAGAGAGAGAGAGAGAGAGAUGGAGUUUCUCCUCCUCUCUUUUUCAGAUCUGCCAG